rnacentral:rRNA from 1 species
AACGAACGCUGGCGGCAUGCCUAACACAUGCAAGUCGAACGAGACCUUCGGGUCUAGUGGCGCACGGGUGCGUAACGCGUGGGAACCUGCCCUUAGGUUCGGAAUAACUCCCCGAAAGGGGUGCUAAUACCGGAUAAUGUCUUCGGACCAAAGAUUUAUCGCCUUUGGAUGGGCCCGCGUUGGAUUAGCUAGUUGGUAGGGUAAAAGCCUACCAAGGCGACGAUCCAUAGCUGGUCUGAGAGGAUGAUCAGCCACACUGGGACUGAGACACGGCCCAGACUCCUACGGGAGGCAGCAGUGGGGAAUGUUGGACAAUGGGCGAAAGCCUGAUCCAGCAAUGCCGCGUGAGUGAUGAAGGCCUUAGGGUUGUAAAGCUCUUUUACCCGGGAUGAUAAUGACAGUACCGGGAGAAUAAGCGCCGGCUAACUCCGUG